ensembl:lncRNA
GCACACACACACUGGACACAUGCACACACACACUGAACACACACAAAACUGUACACACACACACGCACACACUGGAUACAGACAGGACACACUGGACACACACUGGACACACACACACACUGGACAAACACACACACUGGACACACACACAGACAAAUACACACACACACUGGACACACACACACACUGGACACAACACACACUGGACAAACACACACUGGACAAACACACACACACACUGGACAAACACACACACACACUAGACAAACACACACACAAACACAGUGGACACACACACUGGACACACACACACACACACUGGACACACACACACACUGGACACACACACACACUGGACACACACACACACUGGACACACACACACACACACUGGACACACACACACACACUCUCUCACACACACACACACACACACACUGGACACACACACACACACUGGACAAAUACACACACACUGGACACACACACUGGACACACACACACACACACACACACACACUGGACACACACACACACUGGACACACACACACACUGGACACACACACACACUGGACACACUGGACACACACACACUGGGACAAAUACACACACACUGGACAAAUACACACACACUGGACACACACACACUGGACACACACACACACACUGGACACACACACACACUGGACAAACACACACACUGGACACACACACACACACACACACACACACACACACACACUGGACACACACACACACACACUGGACACACACACACACACACACUCUGACACACACACACACACACUGGACACACACACACACAUUGGACAAAUACACACACUGGACACACACACACACUCUGGACACACACACACACUGGACACACACACACACUGGACACACACACACUGGACACACACACACACACUGGACACACACACACACUGGACAAACAAACACACACUGGACAAAUACACACACACACUGGACAAAUACACACACUGGACAAAUACACACACACUGGACAAAUACACACACACUGGACAAAUACACACACACUGGACACACACACACACUGGACACACACACACUCUGGACACACACACACACUGGACACACACACACUGGACCGACACACACACACUGAAUACACACACACUGAACACACACACACACUGGACACACUCACAGAAACACACACUGGACACGGACAGACACACACACAAACACACCUCACAUACACACUGAUUACACACUGAAUACACACACAUUGGACACACACACACACACACACUGGACACACACACACACUGGAAACAAACACACACUGGACACGGACAGACACACACACACACACACACCUCACAUACACACACACACACACUGAUUACACACUGAAUACACACACAUUGGACACACACACACACUGGACACACACACACUGGAAACAAACACAUACAUUGGACACACACACACACACACAUUUGACACACACACACUGGACGGACACACACACACACACACACACACGCACUGGACACUCAGAAACACGCUGGACAAACAAACACACACACACACUGGACACACACACUCAAACACUGAACACACACACACACUGAAACACACACUGGACACAAACACACACACACACACACUCAACACAGACACACAAACUCCACACACACACACACUGGACACACACACACACACACACACUAGACACACACACACAAACACACUAGAUAAAUACACUGGACACACACACACUGGACACGCACACACACACUGGACACGUGCACACACACACUGAACACACACACACACACACUGGACACACACACACACACUCUGGACACACACACACACCACACUGAACACACACAAAACUGUACACACACACACUCACACACACACACUGGACACACACACACUGGACAAACACACACUAGACAAAUACACACACACACUGGACACACAGACACACACUGGACACACACUGGACAAACACACACUGGACAAACACACACUGGACAAACACACACUGGACAAACACACACUGGACAAACACACACUGGACAAAUACACACUGGACAAAUACACACACACUAGACAAACACACACACAAACACAGUGGACACAAACACAGUGGACACACACACACACACACACACACACACACACACACUGGACACACACACACACACACUGGACACACACACACACACACACACACACACACACACACACACACACACACACACUGAACACACACACACUCACACACUGGACUCACAGACACACACUGGACACACACACUCACACACACACACUGGUCACACACACACUGAACACACACACUCUGGACACACACACACACUGGACUCACAGACACACAUUGGACAAAUACACACACACACACACACACACUGGACAAAUACACACACACAAACACAGUGGACAAACAUAUACACACAGGACACACACUCUGGACACACACACAUUCUGGACACACACACACAUGCGCAUCUUUCUAUAGUUGUGAGGACCUCUUACAACAACACUGUUAAAAUACCAAUGUAAUCAUGUGUUGUCUUUUAUGUUGAAAAACUAAUUAUACAAUUAUAUAUAAUUAUAUAUGGACAUACGCUCCAUAGUUGUACAAGUGUACCAGUAUAUAUUGUACUUUUCAUAAUAAAACAUACUUGAAACAAGAAAAGCUUGUUAAUUGUGAAAACAGUUUGGUUAUUUGAUUUUACGUUUCCUCUGUCAGGUUGAUGUUAACCUGCGACUGGUUGAAACAUGAAACAAAUAUGAAAUGAAAUACAAAACAAUUAAAUAUGUGGAAUAGAAUUAAACAAAUUGUACAAUUAGUACAACAGAGUGUAGUGAUGCAGGGUCACUAUAGCAACAGAGUUCUCUCUCUUCUCUGCUCUCUCCCUCUUUCUGCUCGCUCUCUCUGCUCUCUCCGCUCUCUCUGCUCUCUUUUCUCAGCUCUCUCUGUUCUCUGCUCUCUGCUCUGCUGCUCUCUUCUCUCUGAUCUCUCUCUCUCUCUCUCACUCUUUGCUCUCUCACUCUUUCUUUGCUUUCUCAGCCUGCUCUCUGCUCUCUCUCUCUCUCUCUGCUCCCUCUCUCUCCCACAAUCUGCUCUCUCUCUCCCAAACACUCUGCUCUCUCUCUGCUCUCUCUCUCCCACACUCUGCUGUCUCUCUCUGCUCUCUCUCUCUCUCUGCUCUCUCUCUCUGCUCUCUCUCUCUCCCACACUCUGCUCUCUCUCUCUCCCACACUUUCUGCUCUUUCUCUCACACUUUCUGCUCUCUCUCCCACACUUUCUGCUCUCUCUCCCACACUUUCUGCACUCUCUCCCACACUUUCUGCUCUCUCUCCCAAAUCAAAUCAAAUCAAAUGUAUUUAUAUAGCCCUUCGUACAUCAGCUGAUAUCUCAAAGUGCUGUACAGAAACCCAGCCUAAAACCCCAAACAGCAAGCAAUGCAGGUGUAGAAGCAUGGUGGCUAGGAAAAACUCCCUAGAAAGGCCAAAACCUAGAGAGGAACCAGGCUAUGUGGGGUGGCCAGUCCUCUUCUGGCUGUGCCGGGUGGAGAUUAUAACAGAACAUGGCCAAGAUGUUAAAAUGUUCAUAAAUGACCAGCAUGGUUGAAUAAUAAUAAGGCAGAACAUUUGAAACUGGAGCAGCAGCACGGCCAGGUGGACUGGGGACAGCAAGGAGUCAUCAUGUCAGGUAGUCCUGGGGCAUGGUCCUAGGGCUCAGGUCCCCUGAGAGAGAGAAAGAAAGAGAGAAGGAGAGAAUUAGAGAACGCACACUUAGAUUCACACAGGACACCGAAUAGGACAGGAGAAGUACUCCAGAUAUAACAAACUGACCCUAGCCCCCCGACACAUAAACUACUGCAGCAUAAAUACUGGAGGCUGAGACAGGAGGGGUCAGGAGACACUGUGGCCCCAUCCGAGGACACCCCCGGAGAGGGCCAAACAGGAAGGAUAUAACCCCACCCACUUUGCCAAAGCACAGCCCCCACACCACUAGAGGGAUAUCUUCAACCACCAACUUACCAUCCUGAGACAAGGCUGAGUAUAGCCCACAAAGACCUCCGCCAUGGCACAACCCAAGGGGGGGCGCCAACCCAGACAGGAUGACCACAUCAGUGAAUCAACCCACUCAGGUGACGUACCCCUUCCAGGGACGGCAUGAGAGAGCCCCAGUAAGCCAGUGACUCAGCCCCUGUAAUAGGGUUAGAGGCAGAGAAUCCCAGUGGAAAGAGGGGAACCGGCCAGGCAGAGACAGCAAGGGCGGUUCGUUGCUCCAGAGCCUUUCCGUUCACCCUCCCACUCCUGGGCCAGACUACACUCAAUCAUAUGACCCACUGAAGAGAUGAGUCUUCAGUAAAGACUUAAAGGUUGAGACCGAGAUUGCGUCUCUGACAUGGGUAGGCAGACCGUUGCAUAAAAAUGGAGCUCUAUAGGAGAAAGCCCCGCCUCCAGCUGUUUGCUUAGAAAUUCUAGGGACAAUUAGGAGGCCUGCGUCUUGUGACCGCAGCGUACGUGUAGGUAUGUACGGCAGGACCAAAUCAGAGAGAUAGGUCGGAGCAAACCCAUGUAAUGCUUUGUAGGUUAGCAGUAAAACCUUGAAAUCAGCCCUUGCUUUGACAGGAAGCCAGUGUAGAGAGGCUAGCACUGGAGUAAUAUGAUCAAAUUUUUUGGUUCUAGUCAGGAUUCUAGCAGCCGAUUUAGCACUAACUGAAGUUUAUUUAGUGCUUUAUCCGGGUAGCCCACACUUUCUGCUCUCUCUAUCUUAACAGUGGUGAAGUUUGGACAAUCACCACUUGAUGGCAGUGUUAAACCAGAAGUGAUGAAAACAACAUCAAUGCAUCGAGAGAGAGAGAGAGAGAGAGUCUAAUAUACUGAUAUACAGUAACAUUCAGAAAGUAUUCAGACCCCUUGACUUUUUACACAUUUUGUCACGUUACAGCCUUAUUCUAAAAUGUAUUAAAUGUGUUUUUCCCCUCAUCAAUCUACACACAAUAACCCAGAAUUACAAAGCAAAAAUGGUUCACUUUAAUGUGUGAACAUUUUUAUUUAAAAAAACUUAGAUAUCACAGAGGGAGAGGGAGAGUAGAGAGUCAGAACAGAGGGAAAGAGAGAGAGGGAGGGUAGAAAGUCAGAACAGAUGGAAAGAGAGAGAGGGAGAGUAGAGAGUCAGAACAGAGGGAAAGAGAGAGAGAGAGGGGGAGGGUAGAGAGUCAGAACAGAGGGAAAGAGAGAGAGAGAGAGGGAGGGAGAGAGUCAGAACAGAGGGAAAGAGGGAGAGGAGAGAGUCAGAACAGAUGGAAAGAGAUAGCGAGAGAGGGAGGGUAGAGAGUCAGAACAGAGGGAAAGACAGAGAGCAAACCCGUAGCCUCAAGCUCAUUACCAUAGCGCAACGUUAACUAUUCAUGAAAAUCGCAAAUGAAACGAAAGAAAUAUAUUCACUCACAAGCUUAGCCUUUUGUUAACAACACUGUCAUCUCAGAUUUUCAAAAUAUGCUUUUCAACCAUAGCUACACAAGCAUUUGUGUAAGAGUAUUGAUAGCUAGCAUAGCAUUGAGCCUAGCAUUCAGCAGGCAACAUUUUCACAAAAACAAGAAAAGCAUUAAAAUAAAAUCAUUUACCUUUGAAGAACUUCAGAUGUUUUCAAUGACGAG